UACGUAGGGUGCGAGCGUUGUCCGGAAUUAUUGGGCGUAAAGAGCUCGUAGGCGGUGUGUCACGUCGGCCGUGAAAACCUGGGGCUCAACUCUGGGCGUGCGGUCGAUACGGGCAUCACUUGAGUUCGGCAGGGGAGGCUGGAAUUCCUGGUGUAGCGGUGAAAUGCGCAGAUAUCAGGAGGAACACCGGUGGCGAAGGCGGGUCUCUGGGCCGAUACUGACGCUGAGGAGCGAAAGCAUGGGUAGCGAACAGG
rnacentral:rRNA from 1 species